AUUCCUUGAUCAGAAAAGAAAAAAAUGAUGGGAAAAAAAAAGGAAAGGAAAUCAACAUUGACUCUAACCAAAUUUUCAUCCUCAUAAUUCAUUAUAAAUACACUGUUAGCAGCGAUAAUACCCACAUGUGCUUGAGAAAUAUGAACUACACUAUUUCAUCAAAACAUUUACAAAGGCAUGCAAACAAGAAAAAAAAAUUCUUCUGGCAAAACAAAGGAACUUGAUGCAGCUUGAAGCUCAAAGAGAAUACCACUCACACAAAUACACAAGUAUUUGAGA
rnacentral:misc_RNA from 1 species